AUUAUGAUUGCCAUAAAAUUAGCUCAAUGUCGAUCAAGUUGAAAUUGUUUGCAGAGGAACUAGGCUGCUGCUAAAACUAUAAAUUCUUAUCAUCUUUUAAAAUUUUUAAAAUUCAGAUACUAUAACUAGCUACUUUUCUAUUUUGUGAAUUGGAUUUUCUUAUCAUCAGGCUGUGGUUUCCAAUCAUUUUUGAAGAAAGAUGAGGAGGUAUGUGGUUUGGAAAUUUCUCCACCCAACUUACUAGAAGUACAAGGGAAUUGGUCCAAGUUUGCAAGUAUGUUUGAGACAUGGAAUUGUGCCUAGAUGCAGGUUGGCAUCUGCGCUAAAUUUGUUUAGGAAGCAGAGUACAUGUUUUUUGGACAAAGAACACCCACGUUCCCGUGUUGUUCUUAUGAGAAUGUCAGGAGGGAGGAGUUAUUUUCACUUAUCAGUCAGUUUUUGAAGAUGGAAGGUAGUUAUCUGUGAUUUUUCCCACCAGAAUGCCAUAUAUUGCUCAGAAUGUGGAAAUGAAGCAUGCUGAAAACAGAGUGGCUUGUGCCAGGCUUGUAGAAAGUAGUAUGGAUGGAGAAGAAUUAGAGAGAAGCAUAGUAGCUGGUACUGGAAAGCUAUCAAGCGGGAAGAAUUUCUACAUCCUCGUUCAAAGGUUCCCACCAGAUCUUGCAAGGCCUUUGUAAAUUGGAAAACAGUUUAUACCUUUCCACUCAAGAACAAGAGAGACUCAUGAUACAACUGUGCUAACAGUUAGUCAUUCCAGAAAGCAGUGGUUUCCAAGCAAAAAAUGUAUGGAUGUUGAUGUGGUAGACAAUUGUUCUCUUAAGGAGUGAAGAUCAAUCUUCUAGAAAGCAAUAUGUGACAGAGUAAAUGAAGAGGAAGCAGGCAUCAUCUCGUUGGAAAAAGAACAACAUGGUUCCCUGUCAUUUUUGUGAGAAUGUCAAAAGGAAGAAAUUACUGUCACUCAGCAGGCAAGUUUCGCAGAUGAAGAUGGUCAUCAAUUAUAGUUAUUUUGCUCAUUAAUUUGCACUAGCAUUGAUGGAGGCUUCUCAAACAUCAUGUAGAAAAACUGAAAGUGUUAUGUUCUGUAGUGCUCGGAAUGCAGAAAUGAAGAAGAAGAGAAGAUUUGAUGAUGGAAGCUAGAUGUUGAAGAUGGCAGUAAUAGUCAUUCGGAAAGCAAAAGCAAAGCAUGUAGUGGGAUGGAAGAAAUUCAAAGAUUUUGUGCUGCAAGAAUAUGUAUUCACAUGCAAGGGUUUCUAAGCCCUCGUUCAAAGGUUCAAGGAAGCACUGCUGCUAGAUCAUGCAAUGCCUUUCUCAAUUGGACAAUGGACUAUAACUUUCCACCCAAAAAUAAGAGAGAUUCAUGAUGCACUUGUGCGAACAGUUGAUUAUUCAUGUAUUCACAUGCUAGGUGUUGAAUUUGUCAAGGAAGCAGCAGCUUUCGAGCUAAAGUGUAUGAAUGCAGUCUCGAUGGAUUAAAGGUUUCUUCUGAUCUGAUUUGCUUGAGACAAAGGAAAGCAUAUGAAGGAACCAUUUAGCUGGCAUGGCUGAGACCUGUAGCCAAUUUGGUUGAU